UGUUUGGAAGGAUGCUCUUCAACCAUGGAAUUUUCUGGGUGACCUUUCCGUAUGAAUUGCACGCAGAUGUCCCCGUGGAAGGUCGUGAUUGGUCUGGAAAGGUUAUCUUCCUUCGUCUAGUCGGCCGUCCUCACAAAAGAAGAAAGUUCAGGAGCUGGAAUCGCAGGACAGAAGCAGACCCUCGGGAGUCUCUUGGUCGAUAGGCUGCUCAGCAUCUACAACAACAUCUUCCUUGCUCUACCUGGAACUGUAGGCCUGGCCCUGGGCGGCCCCGAAGCUGUCAGAGAGGAAGAUGGCAUCGACCGUGGGCGGUCCCUGUGCGUCUGCGGGAUGGGGCUGUGAGCGCAGGCAGGAAAACAGAUCCCCAUUUGGCCACUUAGUGGCUGGGCACAGGACUUCAUCUCCUGAGACUCAGGCUCCUGGUCCCUCGGUGAGGACAGUGACUCCAUGAGGCUCGGUUUGGGAGGCAGUGAUCGUGUACCAGCACCAGCAUAUUGUACCCGCCCUGAGCACGGAUGAAGAAUUCAUUAGAGGAGAUGCCUCUCCGAGCUGCCUUCUCAAUGCCAUCGGACUCUGCCCUGAGAAAGAUCUCAUCUGAGAGCAGAAGCCUAAUUAAUUUGCCCACGAUGGUUCUGUGCCUGGGAACAGAAACCCUGUUGCUCCUUGCUCGGAGGAUUCUUUCCCUCAGCCACGGAUCCAAGCCGAACGGAAAAAACCUGCCAGCCUCCCUUCUUGCAAAGACAGUGUGCCUCCCCUCCCCCGACACACACUGUGUCCAGGCUUUCUCUGUCCUGCUUUGUCUAAUUUCCUUGGUAAAGGGGGGAAACAAAAAAAAAGGCAAAACAAAACAAAAGAAAGGAACUUGGAACUCUUUUGAGGACAAGGAAGGAGAAGCCAGAGGAAGUGGAAGCAUUUGAUGCUAUCUGAUUACCAUCUGUUCACUGAAGUGAGAUGCCGAAUCCAAUGAACAGUCCAGAGCCUAGCAGGAUGGUCCUGCUUAGCCAUGCCACGCCUUCCCUCUCGGCCUUUCUAGCCAGGCCCCCUCUGCUUCAGAAGGGCUGCAACCCCCACCUGGGCACGUCUUCCCGCCCUGAAUGAUACCAGAGCUGCAGGCUGCGCCCUACGUUCCAGGCUUUGGGGGGGUGUCUCCCCCUUCGCACCUGCCUUGUCUGGCCAAAGGAGUGACAGGUUAGCCCUACUUUAGGGGGUGUCACUCUGCCUGGAGCCCCAAGGCCGGAGAUUGCAUUGUCCUGAGAACAGUAUUUGCUGCAGUGGGACCAGCCAUGAAACUUAAGAAGGCUUGCCAUCCAUCUCCAGUAGGGAGGGCACAGGACAGGGCAAAAGACUGGUCCCCAGCCAGCCCGAACAGCCAUCUGCUACGAUCAAAUCAUUUCUCCUUGGAACAUGGUGACACUUCACUGUAAAAAGGGAACUGAGCCAGUUGGGGACAUCGGCUUGGGCCCAUUCCAGCCCUGGUAAUAAAAAGUUCCGUUUCCCUGGGAGCGUUUUGCAGUGACAGCAAAAAGGGUAUGGCCAGGUGCCCCCAACCCCUCUCAUAUCUCCUCGUGUCCCCAGCAGAUGCUGUCAUAUCCUGCAUCCUGCCAUUUAUAUGCGUCUAGGUGAGAGAGUCAGACCUCAAUGAGCCCCACGGUCUGCUCAGAAGAUUUAUUUUGCAAUAUAAAAUGCAUGACCUCCUCUCCCCAAACCACCUUCAAUCCUACAUCACAUGAUUCCCCUUGAACUCUUUACCUGGAUGUUCAUCAUUCCUCGGCAAGCUCUGUGCUUUCUCCGUUCCUUCUAAGAUGGCAUCGUGUCUACGCAGAGAUCGCCAACGUUUGUUCCCAAACACAUCCUUUCUCAAGGUUGAGCACAAAUGCUACAUCCUCCUUGAAGCCUUGGCUGAGACCCCAGUGCUCCUGUUCCCUACCCGGAGGGGAUCUUCUUUUCUAGAUUUCCCUAAAACUCCCCUAUGUAUGGUAGCCUAUUUCAGGGGUCGCGUUCAUUUCUGCAUCAUUUAGUGGUCGUCUAGCUCCAGAGUACCGUGGUUAAGUACAUGGAUUCUGGAGGCAGAAUUUCUGGGUGCAAACCUGGACUUAGGUAUUCACUGUGUGACCUUGGGUAAGUUGUCUAAACUGUCUGUGCACUAGUUUCUCCAUUUGUGAGAUGGGAAUAGUAACUACCACGUAUGACUGUUGUACAAACUAAAUGAGCAAAUUAUGUCCAGUGUGCGUAACUGUGACUAACAAUGGUCAGGAAA